rnacentral:rRNA from 1 species
CCUACGGGAGACAGCAGUGGGGAAUAUUGCACAAUGGGGGAAACCCUGAUGAAGCGACGCCGCGUGAGUGAGGAAGUAUUUCGGUAUGUAAAGCUCUAUCAGCAGGGAAGGAAAUGACGGUACCUGACUAAGAAGCACCGGCUAACUACGUGCCAGCAGCCGCGGUAAUACGGAGGGGGCAAGCGUUAUCCGGAUGUACUGGGUGUAAAGGGCGCGUAGACGGAAUAGCAAGUCUGAUGUGAAAACCCGGGGCUCAACGCCGGGAGUGCAUUUGAAACUGUUGGUCUAGAGUGUCGGAGAGGCAAGUGGAAUUCCUAGUGUAGCGGUGAAAUGCGUAGAUAUUAGGAGGAACACCAGUGGCGAAGGCGGCUUGCUGGACGAUAACUGACGUUGAGGCUCGAAAGCGUGGGGAGCAAACAGGAUUAGAUACCCCGGUAGUC